CCUGCCUCCUGCUGCAGCCCUGUGCUCUGGAUGUUUGGCACAGCUCCAACCCUCGCCUUCAGCCCAGUGACAUUCUUUGUGAUUCCCUCCUUUUCCCCCCAGCCUCUGUACCCGGAUGAGUCGAGCUGCCAAAGCAUUUUGGAAGCAGUCCAGCAGGCAGGCCUGAGUGGCUCUUCCUUCCUGUGAGCACAGGAGUGUCCAUGCCCUCCCAUCUGCUGAUCCCUCCCAGGAAGGAGCCACGCCGUGGCUGGCCGGGCGUGCGCGUGUGCGCACACACACGCUGGGCUGGAAGCUGGACAACAGCACCCUUGAAAAUGCCUCAUCGUGCUUUUCUAUUGAAAAAAAAAACCCCAAACAGUUAAAAAACCAUGUCUGAGGAGAUUGGAAAGAAUCCCCGAGGAAAGUCUGACACACAGAGCACAAGGAAAUUCAAGCUGGGACUAGGGAAAGAGAAAUGACCCAUUUGCAAUGCUGCUCCAUCCCCUGGGGAGUGCUGGGCUUCUAAUGAGAUCCAGGCCAGAGUGGCUUAAAGGAUUAGGAGCUGAGGUCACCAGGAGCCUGGGGAAGGAAGAAGCCAGCUCUGGAUCAAGACAAACACCGUCCUGGGCUGUGGGCAUGGCAGAGAAGCAGCCAAGGAUGGCUGCAGCUCACAGCAGGAGCUCUUCCUGGGACUGGAGAGACAGAGAACUCCCCAACAGCACGGGCAGAGUGAGCUGGCAGGGCUGUGGUGUGCCAGUGUCCCUCUGAGCCAGGAGGGCAAGGGCUGCUCUACAGACAAGGCUGAUCUGUCACCCAUGCAGUCACUCAGAAAUGAUACAGACCCUGCUGGGGCUGUGCUGAGAGCCAGUGCUGUGCCUCACCCAACUCCUCAGGAUCAAUACCUGGAGAGGAGUCAGCUAUUGACCAGGGUUUUGAGCAAAACUACACAGGAAUUAGGAACCCAUCCACGCUGAGGUCUUCUCAAUGAACCAGCCUUAAGAUACAGCUGGAAUCAUCAGUACCCUUUCAUCCUUCAAAGCAAAGUUUGUGCUAGGAGAAGAGAAAUGAGAUGAUUUCCACGGCCAUGGUGUCAUCUUCCCUUUUCAGUGGGAGACUGCCAGCACUUCCACAAAAUAAGCAAAGCCUAGCAACACUUCAGUUACUCUCCUUCAACAGUCCAAAGAAAAUCUGCCACUGUAAAAACUUAAUUCAAACAGCUUUAGGGUUACAAGGCUUGCCUUGUUCAACCACAGGUAAGUUUGGAUGAGUCAAAGCUCAAGAUUUUAAAAGGAAGGAGGAGAAAAAGGAAAAAAGGCCAAAGGAAAAAGCACACACUGAUAGUGGAAACUGUUUUGCAAUCACUGGCACAAUAAACGAGCCUUUUCAGUCUGAACAGGCCACAGGGUGCUGCACUAGUGCUCAAAGUAGCUGGGCUUGUAUGCUCAGAGAAGAGAGAAGGGAUCUGUUAAACCCCCCCAGUUUAUAGGAAUAAACCCUCUUCUCCAGAGGGUGUGUUUAAAUGUACUUUGCAUUUUAAAAAAAAGUUUGCCUAAUAGCCUGAGCAAAGCACAUUAUUUGAAUAUUGAAAGGUAGUUCAGCUGCUUCUGUAUCUGAUUAUCCCAGUCUUUCCCACGAGCAUUUCCACCUUACUUCAACUUCCAACCAGAAUCCCACACUGGUUUGGGGUGGAAGAGACCUUUAAGCCCAUCCAGUUCCACCUCCCUGCCAUGGGCAGGGACACCUCCCAUUGUCCCAGGGUGCUCCAAGCCCUGUCCAGCCUGGCCUUGGACACAUCCAGGGGCAGCCACAGCUUCCCUGGGCACCCUGUGCCAGAAGAGAGGCUCAGCUUGUGUGGGCUCCUCUGUUCAGCCACGGGAUGGGAUUUCACCUGAAGCCAGGGAAUACCUGUGGCAAGUUUUGCUGUAGUUUUUCAAACAGGUUGGUUUUCUGCUAUUUCUUAACCAAGUGGCAGCUGAGAGGUUAAUUCCAGAGCUCUCUAAAAGGAAGCUGAAGAAGACAAAUGCAGUCCAAAGGCCUGGUGCUACCUCCCCUGCUGUACAGAAAUGGAGAGAGUAAAGGAAGAGCACAGACACAGUGGGUAGGUCAGGAGGCAGGUAAGGAUUCAGGAAUGCUGGAGCCUUGUUGACAGCCUGAGGUUUUCAACCAGGUAAUUUUCCAAGCAGAAAAUACUUGUGAGUUAUACUCAUCUCCCCACGUCCAGGGUUGUUUUGUUCAGACCUGCAGCUGCCAUGAAAUAAAUGGCCAGUGACUUAAAACUGAAUUAUUCCCCCCUUACCUGCACAGGAAGCACCUGGGGGUUCCUAGAGCAGGCAAAAAAACACCUUGCAGACAAACACCUAGUCUCAAACCUCCUGCUCUGUCCACAGGUCUCAAAACACUCAGUAGGUGUGCUUCUCUCAUGCCCUGCAAACACUCCUAGUUCCUCUGGUGCACUCCACUCCCUCCCUGUCUUUUGCUCCAGACUGAGGAGGAGGAGGAAGAGGCUCCCUGCACAGGUACAAACAUGUCCCUGGAGACUGACCUGCUCCCAGUGGCAAGAUGUGACUUGGAUGGAGGGGAAAAAAGGUAAGCCCAGCUCUUCCUGGCACCUGGGAAUGUUCUGGUAUGUGAGAAGUCAUCUGGCCCUGCUUUCCUUUUGCUUUUUUAACCUUCCAGAACAAAAAGGGAUUCAAGGAAAGGCGUUCACAAGUGGGAAUUUUGCCUGGGCAGCCGUUCAUCCUGAGCUAGCUCCUUCCCACUGCCAGGGCCAGCUGCUGUUGGAAGCAGCAGUGUGGGGAGCUGUUGACCUGGAGAGCUAAUUGUGGAAGGCCAGGAUGAAGGAGCUUUGCUUUGCCUCCCUGUUCCCAACACAGCCUCUGGAGAGUACAGGUGAGAUGGAGAAACUGCACAGACAAAUCACUGGAAACCCAAAGAAUUAAUCAGAAGGUGAAGUUACACCACACUGUCACUGUAACAAGCACCCAAGCCCUUGAUUACAGCCUGCCAUCAAGAGAACCACAGAAUCUGGACAAAAAAAAAAAAAAAUUUACAAGAGGCUUAGCAUUUAAUGCUCUAAAGCACUAAAUCCACAGCAAAUCCUCCUGAAUCUAAAUAUGCCUUAGACAUAUUUUACCUUAUUUUUUUAAACUUUUCACAAAUGCCAUCUUAUGCUCCCAAAAAACUAAGCUCCACUGUUACUUUUGCUUUCUCAGUAGUCUGCAAAUCAGGUUACAAUCCUGUGCCUCGAGGGCCCUUUUGGCACUCCCCAAACCUCCUUCCACUAAACAGUAAGCAAGUAAAAAGUAAGCACUUAUUUGGAUUUAUCUCCCCUUUUAAGCCCAAGUAACCCAAAAGUGUCCAGCAGAUUACAGCUGACAGAAGCAGAAUUUUUGGGGGUGAUUCAAGAAAGUUUGCCUGGAAAUUAUGCACGAUACUGAUGGAUAAUUUUAUCACCUAAAACCUUGGGGAAGGUUUUAAUAAGAAAAAAUAAACACAUCCCCCCACUUGUGCACGUUGGCUCAAACAAAAAGGCCAGUGGCUGCUGUGAUCUACCUAACUCUAAGUUUUAAUUCUUGGUGGUUUAGAUUUAAAUUAAGUAGAGGCUUAGCCGGUGUGGAAAUUAAUUAAUUUUGCUCCACUGGUGCUUUUUCAUUCUCCUAACAGAGUCCACACACACCCUGGGAUCACUUUCUGGCUUUUUUCUCCCAGGACUGGUGUGAAAGCUAAACUUGGUCAACAGCCUGCCUGGCUUUUUGCAAAACCACAUCUGUUAAUGGGAAACAACAAAAUGCUCCCAGUUUCUCCCACAAAAUGGAAGUAUUCUCCCAUGGAAAGAGAACAGCCAUAACAAGAGAAUUCCCACUGCAAAUGGGCCGGGGCUCCUACAGAUUCUGGAUGGGAAGAGGAGAGCCACCCAUGGCAAACAGACCUGGAGCAGCCUUUCCUUCCCCUGCCAGGCAGGCAGAUCAACACGUGAGCAGGCUCCAUCCCUGGAAGCAGGGCUGCUCCCCUCCGGGGGCCAGGGAGAAGCGCCCUCGAGGCAAGGCAAACAAGCUCUAUCAGUGAGAGUGCACUUGUGCAGAUAACUGGGACUGGCGCUGCCACAGCUCUGGCAGUCACGGGUCACUGUGCCAGCAGGAGCUCACCCUGCCCAGUGGCAAACUCCACGGCCACUGCAAAGUUCUGCCUUCUCCAUGCUGCAGCCCGGGUGAGUUUGUCCAGCAGGCUGCUGGUGGGGAGUCUCAGCCCUGACAUGCUGGGGUCUGGCCCUCCCAGGGUGCCAGGAAACUAAAGUUUGCACAGGAACACCUAUGGGCUGUUUACACUGAGUUCUGUCCUUCAGUUAGAUGCACAAACGAAAUGAGAAAGAGCCCCUGCAGGAAGAGAUAAAAGGGAAUAAAUUCAAUAGUGCUUCA